CUUGCAUUGACUCUGGUAUUUAUGAUUUGGCAUUGCAAAUGUUGAAAGAAAAAGGACAACUAGCAUUUGCAACGGAUGAAGAUGGCAUGACAGGUUUACAUAUCAUGGCUCAGACAGCAGAUUUAGGAAGUUAUAGGCCAGAACAUCAAAUUCAACUCACAAGUUCAGGUACGAAGAAUGGUGUUGCCCUUGACCUUGUUCAUCUCCUAUGGGAAAAAAUUCUCAACGGUGUAGACUCAAAGGAAAAUAUGAAGAAACUCAUAAACGAACCAUCAAGACUACUAUUUGAUGCAGCAAAAGUUGGAAACUUUGACUUUUUAGCUACACUUAUAAAGUCUUACCCUGAUUUAAUGUGGCAGUUAGAUGACAAAAGACAAACUAUAAUUCAUAUUGCUGUUUUAUAUCGUCAUCCUAAAAUCUUCAAUCUCAUCCAUGAUAUAAGCGGAAGAAAGGAUAUCAUGUUGUCAUA